AUGCAGACAGAUCACUUUGCCAGCUGUCAAGGCAAAUAUUGCUGUAUAGUCCUUGGUCUCAACAACAUCUUUAGUAUCCUGGUGAUGGGUGCCUUCAAAGGGCUGGGCAGAACAGACUUCAUACUGCACCUGCAUUUUACGUUUUCUGCUCUGCAUAAAGCUGCACUGUUCGGAAGAAGUGAGAUUAUCUUUCCUUACAGCUACGACGCUGCACUGCUCUCGACAUAGCCUGCUUUUCCCCCCAUUUACCUGGGCGGCUGCUGCUGUUUCUGCUGCUGCUGGGGCUGCUGCAGUCUCACUGCCUGCGCUUCACCCUGGCUUGUCUGACUCGAGACUCACUUGUCUGCACAUUGCUAAGGAAGAAGAGUGAUGGAGCCACGUUUAUUUUUUCUGUUGGUUCUGGAAGCAAAGGGUUAUGAUAUGUGGUGGUUUGGAGGGUUUUUUUUUGCGGGGGGGAGGAGGGAGGUUAAUCUAGGAUGGGAUGGGUGAAAGCUUAAAGAAAUAUUAUGUAAAAUAAUCCAGUGCUCAACAAGGGUAUCAGCAGCAAGUAUCCAGCCUCUGCUGCUCCAAAGGAUUAACAUGGGGAAAGCCACAGUGCUGCAGUCGAGUUUCACCUCAGCGUUGUGCUGGAGAUGGAUAAAUAAGGUAUCGGUUGUGUCUGCCUGUUAAGGCAAAGGCAUGGGAGGAAGAGAGAGCGAGCGAGUGCAAAUGAGGAGGAAGAAGAAAUGCUAUAUGCUGUUUGUCUGAUUCUGUGCGUUCUCAUUGUAGAGAGGAAGGCAUAAUUUACAGAACAAUGUAUGGACGGAGGGACUGCAUGUUGUAGCUUGAACACUCCUGAUGUUGUCAAGGAGGGGACUGAUAAGCUAGGUGACUGCACCGGUAUCCCCAGGGAAAAUAGCAGCCAUGCAGUGUGUAUAUGUGUGUGUGUUUGUGUAUGUGUGAGCAUGUAUAGAUGUGAAAAAAAGACAUUUCUGACCAAUUUACAGAGGAAUUUUGUCACUUUGCUGCAUCAGACUUGAUUGCAGCUUAUAUUUUCAACUAUAGCUCUACACCCAUUUCCUGACUAAGGCAGCACUUUGUGAAAACAGAUGUAGGCAGAAUUCUUUUAAGAAAUGUGAAAGCAGAUCCUUUCCGUUUAACACCUUGAAACGCUGAAUCUUCUGCACUGUGCCGAGAGAAACUGUAGGGGUUUCGUUUUCUCCAUCUUAAAAUCUUUUUAAACACAGCUGUAUUCAGGAUGGUGAAAAAUUCUAUACUGUAAAUAGAAAUGUGAUCAAUCUAAUCAAAAUAAAUGUAUCCCAGAUGACUUCUAGACCA
rnacentral:lncRNA from 1 species